CAGGAGAAAGCUUGCUUUCUUGCUGACGAGUGGCGGACGGGUGAGUAAUGCUUGGGAAUCUGGCUUAUGGAGGGGGAUAACGACGGGAAACUGUCGCUAAUACCGCGUAGUGUCGAGAGACGAAAGUGCGGGACUGAGAGGCCGCAUGCCAUAGGAUGAGCCCAAGUGGGAUUAGGUAGUUGGUGGGGUAAAGGCCUACCAAGCCUGCGAUCUCUAGCUGGUCUGAGAGGAUGACCAGCCACACUGGAACUGAGACACGGUCCAGACUCCUACGGGAGGCAGCAGUGGGGAAUAUUGCGCAAUGGGGGGAACCCUGACGCAGCCAUGCCGCGUGAAUGAAGAAGGCCUUCGGGUUGUAAAGUUCUUUCGGUAUUGAGGAAGGUUGAUGUGUUAAUAGCACAUCAAAUUGACGUUAAAUACAGAAGAAGCACCGGCUAACUCCGUGCCAGCAGCCGCGGUAAUACGGAGGGUGCGAGCGUUAAUCGGAAUAACUGGGCGUAAAGGGCACGCAGGCGGUUAUUUAAGUGAGGUGUGAAAGCCCCGGGCUUAACCUGGGAAUUGCAUUUCAGACUGGGUAACUAGAGUACUUUAGGGAGGGGUAGAAUUCCACGUGUAGCGGUGAAAUGCGUAGAGAUGUGGAGGAAUACCGAAGGCGAAGGCAGCCCCUUGGGAAUGUACUGACGCUCAUGUGCGAAAGCGUGGGGAGCAAACAGGAUUAGAUACCCUGGUAGUCCACGCUGUAAACGCUGUCGAUUUGGGGGUUGGGGUUUAACUCUGGCGCCCGUA
rnacentral:rRNA from 1 species